AGCAGCCGCGGUAAUUCCAGCUCCAAUAGCGUAUAUUAAAGUUGCUGCAGUUAAAAAGCUCGUAGUUGAAUUUCGGGACCAAUAUGUCGGUCGUGCCUCGGUACGUACUGGCAUCGUUGGUUUCUCCUUUCUGAAGAACCAUGAUGUCAUUUAUUUGGUGUCGUGGGGAAUCAGGACUGUUACUUUGAAAAAAUUAUAGUGUUUAAAGCAGGCUCACGCUUGAAUACAUUAUCAUGGAAUAAUGAAAUACGACGUUUGAUUCUAUUUUGUUGGUUUCUAGGAUCGACGUAAUGAUUAAUAGGGAUAGUUGGGGGCAUUAGUAUUCAAUUGUCAGAGGUGAAAUUCUUGGAUUUAUUGAAGACUAACUACUGCGAAAGCAUUUGCCAAGGAUGUUUUCAUUAAUCAAGAACGAAAGUUAGGGGAUCGAAGACGAUCAGAUACCGUCGUAGUCUUAACCAUAAACUAUGCCGACUAGGGAUCGGAUGAUGUUAAUUUUUUAAUGACUCAUUCGGCGCCUUACG
rnacentral:rRNA from 1 species